AGUGACAAUUUGCCCACAAGGUAGUAAUCCAUGUGCUGUUGAUAAUGGCGGUUGCAGCCACCUGUGUUUAGCAUUGCCUGGUAAUCAACAUGUAUGUAAAUGUCCAACAGAUCAACAUGGUAAUGAAAUUCCUUGUGUAGAAUAAGAAAUGGAGAUGAUGGAAUGGUGUAAACUGAUCUAUGGUUGACUAAUAAACACAGUAGAAUCAUUUGACAAUCCAGUUUUAUUGCAUAAUAACCAUAUAUAACGUAGAUUUGAAAUGAUAUUAAUUAAAUAAAAGUUUAAAACAAUACAGCUGAA